rnacentral:rRNA from 1 species
AUUGAACGCUGGCGGCAGGCUUAACACAUGCAAGUCGAACGAGUGGCGGACGGGUGAGUAAUGCUUGGGAAUCUGGCUUAUGGAGGGGGAUAACUACGGGAAACUGUAGCUAAUACCGCGUACCAUCAGAUGAGCCCAGGUGGGAUUAGCUAGUUGGUGGGGUAAUGGCUCACCAAGGCGACGAUCCCUAGCUGGUCUGAGAGGAUGAUCAGCCACACUGGGACUGAGACACGGCCCAGACUCCUACGGGAGGCAGCAGUGGGGAAUAGUGCACAAUGGGCGCAAGCCUGAUGCAGCCAUGUCGCGUGUAUGAAGAAGGCCCUAGGGUUGUAAAGUACUUUCAGUCGGGAGGCGUUACCGACAGAAGAAGCACCGGCUAACUCCGUGCCAGCAGCCGCGGUAAUAC